rnacentral:rRNA from 1 species
GUAGGGAAUCUUCGGCAAUGGACGCAAGUCUGACCGAGCAACGCCGCGUGAGUGAAGAAGGUUUUCGGAUCGUAAAACUCUGUUGUUAGAGAAGAACAAGGAUGAGAGUGGAAAGUUCAUCCCUUGACGGUAUCUAACCAGAAAGCCACGGCUAACUACGUGCCAGCAGCCGCGGUAAUACGUAGGUGGCAAGCGUUGUCCGGAUUUAUUGGGCGUAAAGCGAGCGCAGGCGGUCUUUUAAGUCUGAUGUGAAAGCCCCCGGCUUAACCGGGGAGGGUCAUUGGAAACUGGGAGACUUGAGUGCAGAAGAGGAAAGCGGAAUUCCAUGUGUAGCGGUGAAAUGCGUAGAUAUAUGGAGGAACACCAGUGGCGAAGGCGGCUUUCUGGUCUGUAACUGACGCUGAGGCUCGAAAGCGUGGGGAGCAAACAGGAUUAGAAACCCUAGUAGUCCC